rnacentral:rRNA from 1 species
UGAAAUCUCACCAGGCCCGGACACUGGAAGGAUUGACAGAUUGAUAGCUCUUUCUUGAUUCGGUGCGUGGUGGUGCAUGGCCGUUCUUAGUUGGUUGAGUGAUUUGUCUUGUUAAUUCCGAUAACGAACGAGGCUUAAUUUGACUCAACGCGGGAAAUCUCACCAGGCCCGGACACUGGAAGGAUUGA